UACAGAGGGUGCAAACGUUGUUCGGAUUUACUGGGCGUAAAGCGCGUGUAGGCUGCUUCGCAAGUCGGAUGUGAAAGCCCUGGGCUCAACCCAGGAAGUGCAUUCGAAACUGCAAAGCUGGAGUCCUGGAGAGGAAGGCGGAAUUCUCGGUGUAGAGGUGAAAUGCGUAGAUAUUGGGAAGAACACCGGUGGCGAAAGCGCCUUGCUGGACCUGCACUGACACUGAGGGACGAAAGCUGGGGGAGCGAAAGGG
rnacentral:rRNA from 1 species